rnacentral:rRNA from 1 species
AUUGAACGCUGGCGGCAGGCCUAACACAUGCAAGUCGAGCGGAGCGGCGGACGGGUGAGUAAUGCCUAGGAAUCUGCCUGGUAGUGGGGGAUACGGACCGGAAACGGGAGCUAAUACAGCAUACUAUCAGAUGAGCCUAGGUCGGAUGAGCUAGUGGGUGGGGUAAAGGCCGACCAAGGCAACGAUCCGUAACUGGGCUGAGAGGAUGAUCAGUCACACUGGAACUGAGACACGGUCCAGAUGCCGACGGUAGGCAGCAGUGGGGAAUAUUGGACAAUGGGCGAAAGCCUGAUCCAGCCAUGCCGCGUGUGUGAAGAAGGUCUUCGGAUUGUAAAGCACUUUAAGUUGGGAGGCGUUACCAACAGAAUAAGCACCGGCUAACUUCGUGCCAGCCGCCGCGGUAAUUC